ensembl:lncRNA
AUGUUUUUCUCUGAAAGAGCUUUAAAAAUGCCCCCCCAAGCCUUUCUCUCAUUCCAGGUCUCUGUAGACAGGUCUGACGUAAUCCUGAUACCUUUGCCUUGGUACGUGAGAAAUUUCUUUGCCCUGGCCGCUUUCAAUACUGUAUCCUUGGAUCUAAUAUUUGCGAAUUGCACUAUGACAUGCCGUGGCGUAGGUUUGUCCUGGUUGAGCUUGGAUGGGGUCCUCUCUGCCUCUUGGACACGAAUGCUUGUUUCCCUUGCUAGAUUAGGGAAGUUUUCAGCUACAAUUUGUUCAAAUAUCUCUUCUAGACCUCUGUUUUUCUCCACCCCUUCAGGGAUGCCGAUGAUUCUGACAUUGGAUCGUUUCAUAGAGUCAGUAAUCUCCCGUAAUCUACAUUCGUGGGCGUGGAUUUUUUUAAGACCAGCUUCUAUUUUCGUUUUUUCUUCUACUAACCCAUCCUCCAAUUCGCUAACGCGUUCCUCUGCCUCGGUGACCCUGGCCGUCAGAGCCUCUAGUUUUGACUGUAUUUGGCCCACUGAGUUUUUAAUUUCUGUCAGAUUCGCUCUCAUUUCUGCCCUUAGGGAUUCUAUAUUCUCAGCAACGCUUUCUCUGAUGCUUUUUUCAAGUUUACUCAUCAUCUUGACCAUUGUUGCUCUGAAUUCCAUUUCUGAUAAUUGGGAUACAUCCAUAUGUAUUAAUUCUGUGGCCGAGGCCAAUUCUGUGGCAGAGGCCACAGACUCAUUAUCUUUUCUUUGCUGGGGGGGACUUCUCCUUCUCGUCAUUCUGAUGAAGAGAGAUUGCAGGGUUGUCCAGAGCCCAAGUGUUGACUGGGACCCAGGCCGUGCGCCCUUGUUUUAUAGAGAUCUUAGGGAUGUGGGCUUCUUCCUUAAAGAGUUUAUUUAUUUAUUUGAGAGAGAGAGAGACAGUCAGCAAGAAAGGGAACCCAAGCAGAGGAGUGGGAGAGGAAGAAGCAGGUUCCCGGUGGAGAAGCCCGAUGAAGGACUCCUUACGGAGCGUUGUGAUCACACCCUAAUCCGAAGACAGGUGCUUGGUGACUGCGCCACUCAGGCGCUCCGGGUUGUGGGCUUCUUGAUUUUUCAGCCUGCCUUCUGGGGGAGGGGCCUGCCUGCCGGUACUCAGAAAACCCUGUUUGGGUAG